rnacentral:lncRNA from 1 species
AAAAAAACUUCAGAUGUUUAUUACUCAUUUUUACAAUCUGAACAGCAUUCUAUUUGACAAACUUAAAUAUUAGCCUUAAAACGACACAACCCCACAAAGCACAAAAUCUUACUAACAAACUAAAGAUCAUGCUACCAGAAUCUACUGCUUCUAAUGGAAUAGUUGUUGAUUUCAUCAUCAGACUUUAGGUUGGGGGUGGAGGGUGCGGGGAGGGGAU